rnacentral:rRNA from 1 species
UACGUAGGGUGCAGGCGUUGUCCGGAAUUAUUGGGCGUAAAGAGCUCGUAGGCGGUCUGUCGCGUCGGAUGUGAAAACCCAGGGCUCAACCCUGGGCCUGCAUUCGAUACGGGCAGACUAGAGUUCGGUAGGGGAGACUGGAAUUCCUGGUGUAGCGGUGAAAUGCGCAGAUAUCGGGAGGAACACCGGUGGCGAAGGCGGGUCUCUGGGCCGAAACUGACGCUGAGGAGCGAAAGCGUGGGGAGCAAACAAG